rnacentral:rRNA from 1 species
UACAGAGGGUGCAAGCGUUAAUCGGAAUUACUGGGCGUAAAGCGUGCGUAGCCGGUUACAUAAGUCGGGUGUGAAAGCCCCGGGCUCAACCUGGGAAUUGCAUUGGUGACUGGCAGGCUUUGAGUGUGGCAGAGGGGGGUAGAAUUCCACGUGUAGCAGUGAAAUGCGUAGAGAUGUGGAGGAAUACCGAUGGCGAAGGCAGCCCCCUGGGCCAACACUGACGCUCAUGCACGAAAGCGUGGGGAGCAAACAGG